CCGCGGUAACACCGGCAGCUCAAGUGGUAGCCGCUUUUAUUGGGCCUAAAGCGUCCGUAGCCGGUCUGAUAAGUCUCUGGUGAAAUCCCACAGCUUAACUGUGGGAAUUGCUGGAGAUACUAUCAUGACUCGAGGUCGGGAGAGGCUGGAGGUACUCCCAGGGUAGGGGUGAAAUCCUGUAAUCCUGGGAGGACCACCUGUGGCGAAGGCGUCCAGCUGGAACGAACCUGACGGUGAGGGACGAAAGCCAGGGGCGCGAACCGGAUUAGAUACCCGGGUAGUCCUGGCCGUAAACGAUGUGGACUUGGUGUUGGGAUGGCUUCGAGCUGCCCCAGUGCCGAAGGGAAGCUGUUAAGUCCACCGCCUGGGAAGUACGGCUG
rnacentral:rRNA from 1 species